rnacentral:rRNA from 1 species
GACGUAGGAUGCAAGCGUUGUCCGGAAUUAUUGGGCGUAAAGAGUUCGUAGGCGGUUGAUUAAGUCUGAUGUUAAAUACUGGUGCUCAACGCCAGCAUGGCAUUGGAAACUGGUCGACUAGAGUGUGGUAGAGGUUACGGGAAUUCCUGGUGUAGCGGUGAAAUGCGUAGAUAUCAGGAGGAACACCGGUGGCGAAAGCGCGUAACUGGGCCAUAACUGACGCUGAGGAACGAAAGCCAGGGUAGCAAAAGGG